UACGAAGGGGCUAGCGUUGUUCGGAAUUACUGGGCGUAAAGCGCACGUAGGCGGACAUUUAAGUCAGGGUGAAAUCCCAAGGGCUCAACCCUGGAACUGCCUUUAAUACUGGCAAUCUCGAGUCCGAGAGAGGUGAGUGGAAUUCCGAGUGUAGAGGUGAAAUUCGUAGAUAUCAAGAGGAACACCGGAGGCGAAGGCGGUCAACUGGUGGUGCAUUGACGCUGAGGUGCGAAGCGUGGGGAGCAAACAGG
rnacentral:rRNA from 1 species